GCCCCCAUAGCUCAAUUGGAAGAGCGUGUGGCUUCGGACCACAAGGUUACAGGUUCGAGUCCUGUUGGGGGCU
rnacentral:tRNA from 1 species